UGUCAUUCAUGAAUGUGCUUGUACAACAGCAUAUGUGGCUAAAAACAGCCAGAUGGAGGUUUCUCAAAACAAUUCCAGUUGGAGAAAAUUGUGAAGAAAAUGUGGUCCUGAAGCUGUAGAAUGGGAGCUCAUGAAUAUUGCUUUUAAACACCAUUCUGAGAAAGGUGUUGUCUUUUCACCUUGCAGGUGCUGUUCUAGAUGAAAGCACUGGAAAGGUCCUGGUUGUACAAGACAGAAAUAAGACUAUAAAUGCAUGGAAAUUUCCAGGAGGUCUGUCUAAUCCAGGAGAAGACAUUGGUAAGUCCUAGGAAGACAGGUCAGACAUCAGCAGAGUUACAGAGACAUUAACACUACUGAAAUACAGCAUGACCCACACCACUCCUUUGAAUUUGUUUCUUUGAAUUAAUGGUGAGCAGAUGAAGUGACAUGAUCCUGUGACCUUAAUGGUAAUUGGGUAACAUUAUACUGGUAACACUGGGUAACAUUUGGGGCAAAGAAGUUUUGUAUUUAUGACAUUUACUCUUUUCCACAAUGUCUCUUAAGUGAGUGCUUGAAGUCAGCUGACUUUUUGUGGGCUUGUUGGAUAUGCUGUAAUAUGAGCCAGAAGUGCAGAGGAUUAAGGUAAUCAGCAUAUUAACUAAAUAAAACUGAAACAGGGAGCUCUCGGCUCACACUGAAAUCCAGGGCAGUGACCUCAGUGAUGCACUGAGCAAAAAUUUCCAGCUCUCCAUUUGUACAUGCAAACCAGAAUUAAAUACAACUUUUGCUUCCUCCCACCCUCAUUCAUUUGAUUUGUUUGGACUAAGAGCUCUUGGCACAGGGCAGCAUUAAGUGCAGCAGCUCGGUCCUGUGGGCACCUACUCAACCAGGGACAUAAAGCUCUUCUGUAUUAAGAAAUAAUGCUGAUUUGAGGAAACCUCUCAUUUCUGCCCAGCGUAGCACAGGUGAUGACAAGCACUGGUGCAGUUCUGGUCAGUGGUGAAUGAACAAGGCUGUUUAUGAAGAGAGAGAAAAUUUAGCUUUUUUUCCCCUUUGUAUCUCACCCCUUAAAAUCAUGAUCCAUAGACUGGUUAUUUUUUAAACUGGGCAUUGAGCCCAGGUUUCCUGACUGUUCCAUACCUUAGAAAUACCUACUAUUUUAGCAGUCUCCUUACAACACUUGCAGGGCUUGUAUUCCAGUUCACUAUUUCAACACAUGGAGAAAGUUUCUAGUUAUUGGGAUAUGACUGAAUUUAGUUUCACAACUCCCGAGUCUCAUUUUCAGUCUUUUUGUCAAACCCAGUGAUGGAAAUCAAAACCAUUUGCUGGACAAUGCAAAUACAUGUAACAGUGAAAUGGAUCCAUGUUUUCAGAAGAAUCCCAAACGCUGUGGUUGUUGUCUAGCCAGGCUUCUUCCGACUUCUAGUGCCAGAGGCUCUAGGCCAGGAGAUACCAGCAGGAUUUUUGUGCCAGCACUGGCAUUCCAGUGGGAUUCCCCAGAGGGAUAGUGCUACUGAGUAAGCCAGAGGCCACCCCUCAAAAAACAGGAGACACAGCAGUUCGAGAGGUUUUUGAAGAGACUGGCAUCAAGUCAGAGUUCAAGUCCAUCCUAAGCAUCAGGCAGCAGCACCAACACCCCGGAGCCUUUGGGCAGUCGG